GCCGGCCGCGCUGACAGCGGCGUCACCAGCGGCGAGUACGGGUCCAGUCUGUCAUCGCUAGACCCGCUUAGUCUCAAGUCGUCGACGGUCAGCAACGACGACGACUCCCUUAACUCCAACGUGUCGCAGUCGACGACGACGGGCGCGACGGACGGCCCGGCGUCACCGGCGGCCGACGACGCGGGCCCCUCGCGCCGCCCAGAUCGCCGACCUGAUCCAGAUGUAGCGGGCGUCUGAUGCGGUGACCGUGACACGCUGUGACCGGACCGUCCGAGCGGGCGGCGUGCCGGAGCCGUCCCACCGGGGCAAUAGUGAUACUGGCAGCGGCAGAAGGAACGGCGACCGGCGACGGCAGCGCCUCUGCCGGCCACUCGGCGAACUACGCUCGCGGCCGGCCGCACCGCUUGUGCAGUGGAGUCGGGACGGCCCGCGAGCGCUCCAUCAGGGCCGGCGGGGUUACUAAUACGAGUAUGUGCCGGUGUUUGCCUGAAAGGGAGAGAGAGAGGACGGGAGACGAGGGCGCUGGCCCCGCCCCUGUUUUAGCUGUAUCACACUAAGCGCGCGCGCAUGUAAGCUACACUGUAUUAGCCUACCUUGGACGGUGUCUUAGGCUCGUAACCUGGCCCGGCUGUUGGAAGCAUUGUUUAACACGUUUUAAGGGCGGUCAGAGUGGGAGGAGCCCGACCGGCCUGUGGUCCCGGUUGGAUCCUCGCUGGCCAGACAAGCCGCUGAUAAGCGGCGUCGUCACGCUGGCUCCAACAGCGGCGCGUCUCGGCUUCCAGAACUGUUACGUGUCUGUCGACACUUUUAACGGACGAAUGGUUGGAAGUUUCAGUCAUUAUUUCUCGAGUAAAGUUUAUUUUACAGUGUCUGACCGUAAAAUAAACCGCAGUAAUCUAACUGACCGCGUUGUUCUGCGGUGCUGCGCUCUGUCGACCGAGGAGUGGAGAUGUUUGUUCGAUUAAUACAUGGACGGAACGCUGGA